rfam:Felis catus isolate Cinnamon breed Abyssinian chromosome D2, whole genome shotgun sequence.
GCCUGGGUGGCUCAGUCGGUUGAGCAUCCGACUUCGGCUCAGGUCAUGAUCUCGCGGUCUGUGAGUUCAAGCCCCACGUCGGGCU